AUGCUCUCAAUUUCAAUACAAUAAUAUAUUUAAAUCAUUUUAUACAUAUAAAUUUAAAUAAAAUAUAUUUAAUCAUAAAUAGUUAUUUUGAACUAAUGAUAGUACUGCCACCUUAUACCUGACAGGCUCCAUGGACUAACAGAAAAUGCCUCUGCCUCUCCUCUCUGUCCUAUCGCCCCAAGUUUGUCUUCCGUUGCGUUUGGUCGAGUCCUACCACUGCACCAUGCAAUGGAAAAAAUCUAAUUUAACCCUCAUAAUUUUGGCUCCCUUCUCUUAUAAGGAUGAAGUUAUUCAUAUCUGUCCAAAACGUACAGAACACCUUUUCAAAUGCAAGAAGGCCUGGUUGAUCAGACCAACAAUUAUAAAAUCAUCGUCCCAUAUGGCAUCACCUUCACAAGAUAAGGUAAUCUUUGCUUAGAAAAGACAGUAGCUGGCCACAUAUAGGAAGAGGGAUGACUUUGAUCCCUUCCUUUAGCGAGUGAUCAAAAUUAUACUCUGCUUUCUUAUAUUUCUGAAAGUUAUAAAUACAAGAAAUAUAUAUACUCCAAAAGACUUCACAAAUAAAGGAAAAAUACAACAAAUUAGGAAUAUACAGGAAUUACAACUAAUUAGGAAUAUGCAGCUAAUGAAUUCCUAGGUUAACGAUUCCUCAAAUAAGGAAUAAAAUUAAAUAGGAAAGAUUUUAAAGACUCUAACGGUGAGCAUACAUUUAGUUGUCUGAUCCAAAUUUUCCGUGCAUAUACUCCACAUCAUUAUUAAAAGACAAAUAAAGAAUAUUCCAAGUGCCAAAAUAAGGUUGAUGGAAUCUUCAAAUGGAUGGUUACGCUGCAUAAGCAGAAGCCCAAUUUCAAAUAACUCAAAUAAAUUCCAUCCUUUAUAAUGAGGAAAAAGAACAUCUGAAAUAAAAUAGAAAGGGCAUAAAUUACCUCAUGUUAACCACAAUGUCAUCAGGCAACUAGUCUUUACUCAAGCAUCAAUCAAUUUGUCAAAUGGUUAAGAAUACUUCAACAGUACAUCACAACAAUUUGGAUUGAAGAACUUGGGAGAUGAUCAAGUGCUUUAAGCAAUAUGAUUCUGAUUUACCAUAUAAUCUUAAAGCAACAGAUGCAAAUUCUAAUGCAGCGCAAGUUCCUAAAUAGUUCCUCGAGUUCAGGAAAAGCCACGACUCUUUUGAUCAAAGCAUAAUUCCUGAAAUUUUGUUAAACGUUUCAAGAGAACUUCAGGAUUAUAUGGAAACAAAUUCUUCCGAUGAAGAUUUUCUAGAGAAUCUUUUAAAGAAAGCAAACAAUUUUUGGCUUUCUUGAACGGUUGGCUUGUGUUUUUGCAGUGCUUGUGGCUACAUUCAAUAUCUUUCUUGCAUUUGUCUUCAAGUGAUGAAGAAAUAUCUUUUACAGUUAUAGAUGAUGCCUCCACCUGAAGAUUAAAGCCAUCCGAAUAUAUUUUUCUUUUCUUGCAUGAUGAUUGAUCCACAAUUUUCUUAUGCACAGAAAAUGUUAUGAAUAAGUUCCAUGAAUUGCAUACUGUACGCAAACACCUUAAAAGAUAUUCUGCACAAGUGAUUCCUGUAUCUUUAGAAAUAAGGUAAUCAAGAAGCACUUGAUGAUCAUAAUGCAACUCUGCAAGGAAUAGAUGGAACAGGUUUACAGGAUUAAAAAUGCUUGCAACAUAAAAAAGAGUAUCUUGUUUGACAUCUCCAUUUGUCCAUUUUUCUUUAUUUGAUUGCUGCUCUAAAAAGGGCUGUAUGCUAAGCAGUUCCAAAAGCACCUUAAAUAAUAUAUCAUCCUCAUGCAUAUAUAGCUGGAGGAAAGAUAAGGCAAAACCUCUACACUUUUCCAAAUACAUUUCAUGAUCCAGAAACGUAUCAGUUGGAAGAUGCCCUCGAAGCCAUUUGUAGAGCUCUAGGAAGCCUUGCCUUCUACCAUAACUGUCCAGGUCUGAUAUUGAGUCAAAUGUCAAAGAAGAGUUCAGAGUCGCACAUCCACAUUGCUUGCUAGUUUCCCUUGUCGAGCUGAUCAGACUGAAGCAACACUUUACGAAAAGGAGAACAGCCCACCUUUGUAAGUGAUGAGAAUUGAUUCCAUGUACUCUAUCAGAAAGACUCAAUAAAAAUGGAGAACCUUCAAGGCAUUCUUCCUGACCAAAAUCAAGUUUGAUUAUGGGUUUCCACAAGAGCUCUUCAAAGUAAACGUGAAGAAGUUGCAACCAUGAAAUGAGAGUAGAGCAGCUUAAACAAGUCUGGUAACUAAGCCUCAGCAUUAGCAUCAACAAUUUAUGCCUGAAGUACUGAGAGACAGACAUUUUCAGAAAAUUCUCAUGCUCGCCGAGGCACCAAGAUAAAAGUUUGGGCACAAAACUGAUGAUUAUGCAAAGAACUGGAUGAUGAUCAUAGGAAUCAAUCUUGGGUUCCACAGCACAGCUUUGCUCAACCAAUGAACAAAGGAACUGGAUAAAAUUCCCAAGAAAUACAACUCUUGCCUCCUUCUCACCACUCUUUCUAACAAAUAAAGCAUCAAUAAAAUGACUAUUUUGAGAAUCAUUUUCCUUAGCAUCGCUACUCUGACCAAUUUGAAUCUCAUCCAUGAAAUCUGAAGGCACAUCUGAAAGAAAAGAACUGGCAGAAUCCAAGUACAUUUCGCAAAGGUGAUCAUCAUCCUCUUGCUUCAAAUAUUUUAAUGUUUUGCGUAAAACUCGAAUAAUUGUAGCUGCUGUAGACCAGUUAGCAUUUUCCAGUCGAGAUUUUAAGAGAAAAAAACUAGAUGAGUCAUAACUGGAGUCCCCAGCUCCAUUUUUCGAAGGUGCCAGAAAGUGUGACAACAUAUUGGCAAUUGCCAAUUCCAGACAAAUAAACAAGGAAUGAAUGAAAGAAUCCCCCUCCUUUCCAGAUGCAGCCACGAACUCAGAAAUGACUACAAGAAUGUUGCCCACCAAGUGUUGUACAAAUCGACUCUCAACCGUUAGAAGAAUUAUCAAGUCUGCUAGUAUCUUGAUCAAACAGUUAUGGUCCUCACGAUGCAUCCCUGAUCCACCAAAGUCUUUGUCACAAACAAGAUCCGGAGCCACUUCUUUAUCAGAAUCGCAAUCAAGUGCCAGCUUCAUAAGCUGAAUUUCUCUCAAGACCCGAGAGAGAGCAAUUAGAAGAUCCUUCUCCUUGUCUCUGGUUAAAGAAAUCACUUCCGAUUCAGUGAACGGACGAACGGAAUCAUCGAUCAGAUGGCAUAGAAGAGAGAAUUUCGAAUCACUAGACAUUUUUCGGCUUUUGAUUACUCCCGCGAAAUUUUUUGCCCCUUCAUCUCGGUGACGCAAGUGCUGCGUAGUGGCAGCUUGACAACGCAGCGUUUUGAAUUUCAGGUGCGGCGAACUGGUUAAAAACGGUGAGUAUUAGAGGCUUUGAAAACGGUUCAAUUUGGCAGGUGAAGUCUGCAAAAACUCAGCACAGGACUUUUUAAGUGCCAACCUUAAAAAGAAAUGCAACAGCUGUUUGCUAGAAUGCCUCAAAGAAAUCUGGUGGAAACGUCCCAAUAGGUAAAUUCGUUUUUAUUUUAAGAGAACUACUUGUGAGAUUAUAUGAACAAGAAUAAGAAUGGCAUUUAUCAGGCCUAGUCGCAUGGUAAGUUUGUUAAGUAAAGCAAGAUUACCAGAUAAAGCAGAGAGCUUAUAACUGAAUCAACCUAUAGCGAUGUGCAUUUGAAACUAUGGAGAACUUU
rnacentral:misc_RNA from 1 species